rnacentral:rRNA from 1 species
UGGCGAACGGGUGAGUAACGCGUGAGGAACCUGCCUCAAAGAGGGGGACAACAGUUGGAAACGACUGCUAAUACCGCAUAAGCCCACGACCCGGCAUCGGGAAGAGGGAAAAGGAGCAAUCCGCUUUGAGAUGGCCUCGCGUCCGAUUAGCUGGUUGGUGAGGUAACGGCCCACCAAGGCGACGAUCGGUAGCCGGACUGAGAGGUUGACCGGCCACAUUGGGACUGAGACACGGCCCAA